rnacentral:rRNA from 1 species
CAAUAGCGUAUAUUAAAGUUGUUGCAGUUAAAAAGCUCGUAGUUGGAUUUCUGGUUGAAGCGACCGGUCGGGCGUUGAUUCGUCUGCACUGGAGUCGGUUUUGGCCAUCCUCUAGGAAAGUGCGUCUGGUAUUAAGUUAUCGGGCGUAUGAUCCUGGUCUUUUACUGUGAAAAAAUUAGAGUGUUCAAAGCGGGCUUACGCUUGAAUAUUUCAGCAUGGAAUAACACUAUAGGACUCCUGUCCUAUUUCGUUGGUCUCGGGACGGGAGUAAUGAUUAAGAGGAACAGUUGGGGGCAUUCGUAUUUCAUUGUCAGAGGUGAAAUUCUUGGAUUUAUGAAAGACGAACUUCUGCGAAAGCAUUUGCCAAGGAUGUUUUCAUUAA